AGUCAAGAGUCUUUGGCAUCGUUUUGGUGAGCGUGAAUCUUUUGCCUUUUUGAAAGGCGAGGACAUG
rfam:Agrobacterium tumefaciens str. C58 plasmid At, complete sequence.